rnacentral:rRNA from 1 species
UGCUAAUACCGGAUAACAACAAGAUGAUGCCUAUCAACUGUUUAAAAGUAUGGUUCUGCUAUCACUCUUGGAUGGACCUGCGGUGCAUUAGCUAGUUGGUAGGGUAACGGCCUACCAAGGCGAUGAUGCAUAGCCGAGUUGAGAGACUGAUCGGCCACAUUGGGACUGAGACACGGCCCAAACUCCUACGGGAGGCAGCAGCA